rfam:Pseudanabaena biceps PCC 7429 scaffold_00265, whole genome shotgun sequence.
GCGGAGACGCAAGUUUCCGUUCACUCCUCACACCACAUUCCGCCUGAGCUUAUGAGCAGCAAAGGCGGUU